rnacentral:misc_RNA from 1 species
GUACAUUCAAAAAAGGAAUUGAUUCCGUAAAAGAUGGGAUCAACCAGUAAAUAGAAAAUUACUGAUAUUUCAUCCUUGUGAGAUUGUCAAUUUUGUACCAAAGGUGUAUUUUGAGUAUACCAAAUUAGUAUAGCUAUCCUUCCUAUGGCACAGCAAUCCUGUUUCGAGACCAAGCGAAACAGAAUUCUUUUUUUCUCUUCUUUGUUCCUUGUCUAUAGGGUAAGCUAUAUGGUAUUCAAGGCAUCAAUAGAAAACCUCAAUUUUGAGGGUCCUACUUAAUUUU